GACGAACCGAGCGAACGUUGUUCGGAAUCACUGGGCUUAAAGGGUGCGUAGGCGGGCUGCCAAGUUUGGGGUGAAAUCCUCCGGCUCAACCGGGGGAAGUGCCUUGAAUACUGGCGGUCUCGAGGGAGGUGAGGGGCGUGCGGAACUAACGGUGGAGCGGUGAAAUGCGUUGAUAUCGUUAGGAACUCCGGUGGCGAAGGCGGCUUCCUGGACCGACACUGACGCUGAGGCGCGAAAGCUAGGGGAGCAAACGGG
rnacentral:rRNA from 1 species